CCUACGGGAGGCAGCAGUGGGGGAUAUUGCACAAUGGGGGGAACCCUGAAGCAGCGACGCAGCGUGGGGGAAGAAGGGCCUCGGCGCGUAAAGCCCUGUCAGCAGGGAAGAAAAUGACGGUACGUGAAGAAGAAGCCCCGGCUAACUAGGUGCCAGCAGCCGCGGUAAUACGUAGGGGGCAUGCGUUAUCCGGAUUUACUGGGUGUAAAGGGGGCGAAGACGGCGAUGCCAGCCAGGAGUGAAAGCCCGGGGCCCAACCCCGUGACUGCUCUUGGAACUGCGUGGCUGGAGUGCAGGAGGGGCAGGCGGCAUUCCUGGUGUAGCGGUGAACUGCUUAGAUAUCACGAGGAACCCCGGUUGCGAAGGCGGCCUGCUGGACUGCAACUGACGUUGAGGCCCGAAAGCGUGGGGAGCAAACAGGAUUAGAUACCCCAGUAGUC
rnacentral:rRNA from 1 species